rnacentral:rRNA from 1 species
UGGGGCAUCUUGGACAAUGGGGGCAACCCUGAUCCAGCGACGCCGCGUGGGUGGUAAGGCCUUCGGGUUGUAAAGCCCUUUCACCGGGGAAGAUGAUGACAUUACCCGGAGAAGAAGCACCGGCUAACUCCGUGCCAGCAGCCGCGGUAAUACGGAGGGUGCAAGCGUUAUCCGGAAUCACUGGGCGUAAAGGGCACGUAGGCGGUCUAGUAAGUCCGAUGUUAAAGCGUGGGGCUCAACCCCAUCACGGCGUUGGAUACUGCUAGGCUUGACGACUGGAGAGGUGAGUAGAAUUACCAGUGUAGCGGUGGAAUGCGUAGAUACUGGUAGGAAUACCCAUUGCGAAGGCAGCUCACUGGACAGUACGUGACGCUGAGGUGCGAAAGUGUGGGGAGCAAACCGGAUUAGAUACCCGCGUAGUCC